rnacentral:rRNA from 1 species
CCUACGGGAGGCAGCAGUGGGGAAUCUUGCGCAAUGGGCGAAAGCCUGACGCAGCAACGCCGCGUGCGGGAAGAAGGCUCUCGGGUUGUAAACCGCUUUCAGCAGGAACGAAAAUGACGGUACUUGCAGAAGAAGGUGCGGCCAACUACGUGCCAGCAGCCGCGGUGACACGUAGGCACCAAGCGUUGUCCGGAUUUAUUGGGCGUAAAGAGCUCGUAGGCGGUUCGGUAAGUCAGGUGUGAAAACUUUGGGCUCAACCCAAAGCCUGCAUCUGAUACUGCUGUGACUAGAGUUCGGUAGGGGAGCGGGGAAUUCCUAGUGUAGCGGUGAAAUGCGCAGAUAUUAGGAGGAACACCGGUGGCGAAGGCGCCGCUCUGGGCCGAAACUGACGCUGAGGAGCGAAAGCGUGGGUAGCAAACAGGAUUAGAUACCCUGGUAGUCCACGCCGUAAACGUUGGGCACUAGGUGUGGGUUUCAACCACGAAAUCCGCGCCGUCGCUAACGCAUUAAGUGCCCCGCCUGGGGAGGUACGGCCGCGAACGGUUAAACGUACAAUAGAAUUAGACGGCGUGAGACGUGCCGACGGACGACGACGAGGGAGUAGG